rnacentral:rRNA from 1 species
AGCGAACGCUGGCGGCAGGCCUAACACAUGCAAGUCGAACGAACCUUUCGGGGUUAGUGGCGGACUGGUGAGUCACCCGUGGGAACGUUCCUUUAGGUUCGGAAUAACUCAGGGCAACUUGUGCUAAUACCGAAUGUGCCCUUCGGGGGAAAGAUUUAUCGCCUUUAGAGCGGCCCGCUUCUGAUUAGCUAGUUGGUUGAGGUAAUGGCUCACCAAGGCGACGAUCAGUAGCUGGUAUGAGAGGAGGAUCAGAAACAUUGGGACUGAGACACGGACCAAACUCCUACGGGAGGCAGCAGUGGGGAAUCUUGAGCAAUGGGCGAAAGACUGACGCAGCCAUGCCGCGUGAAUGAUGAAGGUCUUAGGAUUGUAAAAUUCUUUCAACGGGGACGAUAAUGACGGUACCCGGAGAAGAAGCCCCGGCUAACUUCGUG